rnacentral:rRNA from 1 species
UUUGUCCUACGGGGGGCAGCAGUGAGGAAUAUUGGUCAAUGGGCGGAAGCCUGAACCAGCCAAGUCGCGUGAGGGAAUAAGGCCCUACGGGUCGUAAACCUCUUUUGCCGGGGAGCAAGGGCCGGGACGCGUCCCGGCCCGGAGAGUACCCGGAGAAAAAGCAUCGGCUAACUCCGUGCCAGCAGCCGCGGUAAUACGGAGGAUGCGAGCGUUAUCCGGAUUUAUUGGGUUUAAAGGGUGCGUAGGCGGUCCGUUAAGUCAGCGGUAAAAUUGCGGGGCUCAACCCCGUCGAGCCGUUGAAACUG